UUUAAAGGAUUGCUUUAGGUAUGC
rnacentral:piRNA from 1 species